ACUAUGCCAGCUGGUGGAUAGCUCGGCUCGGAAGCCGAUGAAGGACGUGCCAAGCUGCGAUAAGCCCGAGGGAGCCGCACGGAGGCGAAGAACUCGGGAUUUCCGAAUGGGAACUCCUCACCGCAAUUGCUUCGCGCAAUGGGGAACGCCGGGAACUGAAACAUCUCAGUACCGGCAGGAAGAGAAAGCGAACGCGAUGUCGUCAGUAACCGCGAGUGAACGCGACACAGUCCAAACCGAAUCCUUCGGGAUAUGUGGUGUUUUGGGCUGACAUGCAGCGGCCGAACGUCUUCGAGAAGUCUCCUGGAACGGAGCGCGAUACAGGGUGACAGCCCCGUAUCGAAGUCAAGUACGCCGUGCGUCAGUUCCUGAGUAGCGGGGGUUGGAAAUCCCUCGUGAAUUUGGCAGGCAUCGUCUGCCAAGACUAAAUACUCUCCGAGACCGAUAGCGAACAAGUAGCGUGAGCGAACGCUGAAAAGCACCCUCAGAAGGGAGGUGCAAUAGGGCUUGAAAUCAGUUGGCGAUGGAGCGACGGGGCAUACAAGGUCCCGCGAAGAAUGACCCGGGUGCGAGCCCGCAGUAAGAUUCGCGGGAAGCCGAUGUUCCGUCGUACGUUUUGAAAAACGAGCCAGGGAGUGUGUCUGUUUGGCGAGUCUAACCCGAGUAUCGGGGGAGGCACAGGGAAACCAACAUGGCCGCAGCAUUGCCAGGGCCGCCGUCUUCAAGGGCGGGGAGCCAGACGGACACGACCCGAAUCCGGACGAUCUACUCCUGGGCAAGGUGAAGCGUGCCGAAAGGUACGUGGAAGCCUGUUAGCGUUGGUGUCCUACAAUACCCUCGCGUGACCUUGGAGUAGGGGUGAAAGGCCCAUCGAGUCCGGCAACAGCUGGUUCCAACCGAAACAUGUCGAAGCAUGACCUCCGCUGAGGUAGUCCGUGGGGUAGAGCGACCGAUUGCCGUGUCCGCCCUCGAGAGAGGUCGGCUCGGCUGUCAAACUCCGAACCUACGGACGCCGUCGACGCGGGGAGUCCGGUGCGCGGGGUAAGCCUGUGUACCAUAAGGGGAACAACCCAGCGUUUGGUUAAGGUCCCCAAGUGUGGAUUAAGUGUAAUCCUCUGAAGGUGGUCUCAAGCCCUAGACAGCCGGGAGGUGAGCUUAGAAGCAGCUACCCUCUAAGAAAAGCGUAACAGCUUACCGGCCGAGGUUUGAGGCGCCCAAAAUGAUCGGGACUCAAAUCCACCACCGAGACCAAACCACGUCCGUCACAGGGCGAUUGCGUAGGUUGGCGCUCCGAUUGGGUGGAAGCGCGGGCGAGAGCUCGUGUGGACCGAUCGGUGACGAAAAUCCUGGCCAUAGUAGCAGCGAAAGUCGGGUGCGAAUCCUGACGGCCGAAAGGGCAAGGGUUCCUCGGCACUGUUCGUCAGCCGAGGGUUAGCCGGUCCUAAGAUCCGUCGUAAUUCGAGCGGAUCGAACGGGAAACUGGUUAAUAUUCCAGUGCCACCAUACACUCAAAGCCGACGCCUCGGGGUAGACCGAGCCGGGCUUUCGCCCGGCCGAAUCGUCCAAGCUCGUGGAAGCCGUAACGGCACGAAGCGGGCGAACGGCGAGAUAGGGAAACUCGGUUCAACCUGGGGCCCGUGAAAAGGCGAGUAUGGUGUCCGUACCCAGCACCGACACAGGUGCCCUGGCGGAGAAAGCCCAGGCCUGUCGGGAGCAACCGGCGUUAGGGAAUUCGGCAAUUUAGCCCCGUAAGUUCGCGAUAAGGGGUGCCUGCCUCGGGAAGAGGCAGGUCGCAGUGACUUGGAGGCUCGGACUGUCUAGUAACAACAUAGGUGACCGCAAAUCCGAAAGGACUCGUACGGUCACUGAAUCCUGCCCAGUGCGGGUAUCUGAACACCUAGUACAAUAGGACGAAGGACCCGUCAACGGCGGGGGUAACUAUGACCCUCUUAAGGUAGCGUAGUACCUUGCCGCUUCAGUAGCGGCUUGCAUGAAUGGAUUAACCAGAGCCUCACUGUCCCAACGCUGGGCCCGGUGAACUGUACAUUCCAGUGCGGAGUCUGGAGACCCCCAAGGGGAAGCGAAGACCCUAUAGAGCUUUACUGCAGGCUGUCGCUGGGACACGGUCGCUGAUGUGCAGGGUAGGUAGGAGACGUUACACAGGUGCGUGCGCUAGCACGUCGCCGAGUCACCCAUGAAACACUACCCGUCAGUGACUGUGACCCUCACUCCUGGCGGAGGACACCGGUAGCCGGGCAGUUUGACUGGGGCGGUACGCGCUCGAAAAGAUAUCGAGCGCGCCCGAAGACCAUCUCAUCCGGGUCGGAGACCCGGAGAAGAGCGCAAGAGCAUAAGAUGGUUUGACAGUGUUCUUCCCAACGAGGAACGCUGACGUGAAAGCGUGGUCUAGCGAACUCAUUAGCCCGCUCGAUGCGGGCAAUGAAUGACAGAAAAGCUACCUUAGGGAUAACAGAGUCGUCACUCGCAAGAGCACAUAUCGACCGAGUGGCUUGCUACCUCGAUGUCGGUUCCCUCCAUCCUGCCCGUGCAGAAGCGGGCAAGGGUGAGGUUGUUCGCCUAUUAAAGGAGGUCGUGAGCUGGGUUUAGACCGUCGUGAGACAGGUCGGCUGCUAUCUAUUGGGGGUGUCAUGGUACCUGACGGGAACGCCCGUAUAGUACGAGAGGAACUACGGGUGGUCGCCACUGGUGUACCGGUUGUCCGAGAGGGCAGUCGCCGGGCAGCCACGCGACACGGGGUAAGAGCUGAACGCAUCUAAGCUCGAAACCCACCUGGAAAAGAGGUACCGCUGAGGUCACUCGUAGAAGACGAGAUCGAUAGACUCGGGGUGUGCGCGUCGAGGCAACGAGACGUUCAGCCCGCGAGCACUAAUCGACCGAAGCCACCAUU
rnacentral:rRNA from 1 species